GUCCUAGCUGUAAACGGUGCACGUUUGCUGUAAGAGGAAUCUACCCCUUUUGUGGCGAAGCUAACGCGUUAAACGUGCCGCCUGGGAAGUACGGUCGCAAGAUUAAAACUCAAAGAAAUUGACGGGGGCCUGCACAAGCGGUGGAGUAUGUGGCUUAAUUCGAUGCAACGCGAAGAACCUUACCUGGCCUUGACAUGUACGUAGUAGAAGGGUGAAAGCCUGACGAGGUAGCAAUACCAGCGUACACAGGUGCUGCAUGGCUGUCGU
rnacentral:rRNA from 1 species